rnacentral:rRNA from 1 species
UACGUAGGGUGCAAGCGUUAUCCGGAAUUAUUGGGCGUAAAAGAGCUCGUAGGCGGUUUGUCGCGUCUGCUGUGAAAACUGGAGGCUCAACCUCCAGCCUGCAGUGGGUACGGGCAAACUAGAGUGCGGUAGGGGAGAUUGGAAUUCCUGGUGUAGCGGUGGAAUGCGCAGAUAUCAGGAGGAACACCGAUGGGCGAAGGCAGAUCUCUGGGCCAGCACUGACCGCUCGAUGC